CUCAUUUCGUGUGUAUCACUGAGUGGAAGAAGUGCAGCCCUCCCUCCUCCUUACAGCAGAGCAGACACUGAAGGCAGCCGUAGUCACGCCGCUUCUGGUUACCAUGGUAACGGUCGGCCCUCUGCAGUGGAGCAGGUCUAACGUCAUGGGACUUCCGCUUUGCAACACGGUGUUCGGUGCUGGGGUGCAUAUAUUACAGUGUAGGAUCCAUCCCACUCCCUCCCCCCUCCGCUGCUGGAUUGCCCACCUGCCUCCCGGUCUCCCUCCCAUAUCUCCCGCCGGCACCAGCAGACAAUCGUCAGAUAUGCAGUGUGCUACAGCGUAAAUGCAUCACUGGGAGAAAGUGUCAGACACGGGUGCCAGAUAAACGUUUCACUGUGAAAUAUGCUGUGUGAAGCUUGUUAUACCCAAGUGUGCCACAGUAAAAUAAGCCACAUAAAAUGGUGUAUGAAAUUUAUCUAGGCUUAGAAAGGUGGUGCCAUAUAAUAUUACUCCCUCAUCAUACACAAAAAAAAUAUAACAUUUUAUUUCCCUUUUUUUUAUGAAAGCGGACUACAUAUCUGUGUUGUGUGUGGUUUUCAUGUAAUACGUCUAGAUUCAAUAAAACUUAAUUUUAAAAUGAAUUCAUGGAGAAAAAAAAAAGAACA